ACCAUUGCUUUUGCGUCUUCAGGAAGCACGAAACUGCAACAGGCAACGCAAACAAGACUAUCAAAUGAAACGGUCAGAGAAAAGAUCUGCUUGCACUUCUGUGAUUAAAUACUAAUCAGUGACACGUAGGUGAAGUACCGUCACAAAGCUGCUAAUGAAGCUGAAGACAGGAGACCCUGAGUAGGUUAUCAAAUAUGGGACGCGGCUUUCAGCCCGAGUGCCAGUGAAGGCAGGAUCCAAGCCUGUGAAAAUACAGCUCACGAGCUCAGACAGGAGAGCGCUGUCCGGAACAGGAGAAACUGAACAGAAGCUGUACCACCUAGCGUCUGACACAGUACAGACGUUGGAAUUUCUGUGCUUCAUAAUCCAUUUUAAAAAAAAUAUGAAUGUACUAAAUUAUAGAUUUAUUCCAUCUUGCCCUCUUUGUUUAAUUUCCA